UACGUAGGGGCCGAGCGUUGUCCGGAGUUAUUGGGCGUAAAGCGCGCGCAGGCGGCUUCGCGCGCCCGACGUGAAAGCCCCCGGCUUAACCGGGGAGAGUCGUUGGGGACGGCGGAGCUUGAGGGCGGGAGAGGUCGGUGGAAUUCCCGGUGUAGUGGUGAAAUGCGUAGAGAUCGGGAGGAACACCUGUGGCGAAGGCGGCCGACUGGGCCGACCCUGACGCUGAGGUGCGAAAGCGUGGGGAGCAAACAGG
rnacentral:rRNA from 1 species